rnacentral:lncRNA from 10 species
UUAAAGAAGGAAGAGGUUUUUAUUCGGCCGGGAGCGUCAGCAGACUCGCGUCUUAAGAGCCGAGCUCCCCGAGAAAGAAACUCCUAGCCCUUUUAAGAGCUUACAACUCUAAGGGGUCCACGUGAAAGGGUCAUAAUAGAUCAAGUAAGCGUGAGGAACGUGACUGGGGGCUACACACAUCAGCUAACAGGACAAAAAGUUUUACGGUGCUUUCUCACACAAUGUCUGGAAUUUACGGAUAACACCAGUCGUUUUGGUCAGGGGUUAAUAUUAUUAUUAUCAUUCUAACCACCAGGGCCAGGUGGUGGCGCCAAGGUCGUCUAGCUAUUUAUCUUACUUCUGUUUCUUUCCAGCUUUUUGCUUUCUCCCUUUUCUCCCGUCUUAUAAACUAGGGAAAAGGGGAGGUUGGGGAGAAGCUGGGAAGGACAACAGGAGAAGUGGUGGUCUCAUUCCAUAGCAGUAGCGCUGUCCCCUUUUCCUUCCUGGGCAUCUGAACCCCCUGG